UAUCUGUCUAAUUGUGGAUUAAAUUAAAUUGUGAAUGGAAAAUCUUUUUCAAUGACUUCUAAUGUUAAGUAAUUUAUUUUUAAUUUUCACAUUGAUCAACAUUCGCCUUCUCUUAAUAUAGACGAAAAGAGCACAGAGUAUGUAGUAGAGAGAGGAGAACAUCAACUCCUAAAGUGGAGGGGGCCUGGUUUAAAACUCCCAGUGCCCCCAAAAGACCGAGACUUUGUCGUCCAAGGACUCUCCUCAGAAAACGAACUAAUCAGAAUGCCGAUGAAUCUAUUCUCCCAAAGUGGGAGGUCUCCCCAAUAAGUAACGAGUCGGGCCCCAUUCUGAUCGGUUCCGAGUGAGUAGUGACUUUCACAAUUAUCAAACAUCAAUAUAAGUUUAAACAAAAGAAAUUAACUGAAUUAGAAAUUAAGUGUUUAAAAUACUG